AGCGAACGCUGGCGGCAUGCCUAACACAUGCAAGUCGAACGAUAUCUUCGGGUCUAGUGGCGCACGGGUGCGUAACGCGUGGGAAUCUGCCCUUUGGUUCGGAAUAACAGUUGGAAACGACUGCUAAUACCGGAUGAUGACGAAAGUCCAAAGAUUUAUCGCCAGAGGAUGAGCCCGCGUAGGAUUAGCUAGUUGGUGUGGUAAAGGCGCACCAAGGCGACGAUCCUUAGCUGGUCUGAGAGGAUGAUCAGCCACACUGGGACUGAGACACGGCCCAGACUCCUACGGGAGGCAGCAGUGGGGAAUAUUGGACAAUGGGCGAAAGCCUGAUCCAGCAAUGCCGCGUGAGUGAUGAAGGCCUUAGGGUUGUAAAGCUCUUUUACCCGGGAUGAUAAUGACAGUACCGGGAGAAUAAGCUCCGGCUAACUCCGUGCCAGCCGCCGCAGUAA
rnacentral:rRNA from 1 species